GAUGAACGCUGGCGGCGUGCUUAACACAUGCAAGUCGAACGAUGAAGCUCAGCUUGCUGGGUGGAUUAGUGGCGAACGGGUGAGUAACACGUGAGUAACCUGCCCUUAACUCUGGGAUAAGCCUGGGAAACUAGGUCUAAUACCGGAUAGGAGCGCCUACCGCAUGGUGGGUGUUGGAAAAAUUUAUCGGUUUUGGAUGGACUCGCGGCCUAUCAGCUUGUUGGUGAGGUAAUGGCUCACCAAGGCGACGACGGGUAGCCGGCCUGAGAGGGUGACCGGCCACACUGGGACUGAGACACGGCCCAGACUCCUACGGGAGGCAGCAGUGGGGAAUAUUGCACAAUGGGCGAAAGCCUGAUGCAGCGACGCCGCGUGAGGGAUGACGGCCUUCGGGUGGUAAACCUCUUUCAGUAGGGAAGAAGCGAAAGUGACGGUACCUGCAGAAGAAGCACCGGCUAACUACGU
rnacentral:rRNA from 1 species